rnacentral:rRNA from 1 species
AUUGAACGCUGGCGGCAGGCCUAACACAUGCAAGUCGAGCGGAGCGGCGGACGGGUGAGUAAUGCCUAGGAAUCUGCCUGGCAGUGGGGGAUCACGUCCGGAAACGGGCGCUAAUACCGCAUACUAUCAUAUGAGCCUAGGUCGGAUUAGCUAGUUGGUGGGGUAAAGGCUUACAAAGGCGACGAUCAGUAACUGGUCUGAGAGGAUGAUCAGUCACACUGGAACUGAGACACGGUCGAGUCUCCUAUGGGAGGCAGCAGAGGGGAAUAUUGGACAAAGGGGGGAAGACUGUUGCAGACAGGCCGCGAGUGUGAAGAAGGAAUUCGGAGUGUAAAGAAAUGUAAGUUGGGAGGCGGUACCAGCAGAAUAAGCACCGGCUAACUACGUGCCAGCAGCCGCGGUAAUAC